rnacentral:pre_miRNA from 1 species
AGUGGGAUAGCUGGGUCAAAUGAUGGUUCUAUUCAAAAUUUUCUAAGGAAUCUCCACAGUGCUUUCCAGAUUGAUUGUACCAAUUUGCAGACCCACCAGCAAU